ensembl:lncRNA
CAAAAGGUCUCAGAACUACAAGGAAUUUUUUAGAAUUAUAAAGAUACUAGAAAACAGGACAGCCAGGCAUUAUACUAAACACAUGCCUUCUUAAAAACCAGCACAAGAAGUCCCCAAUCUCCAAGAAGACUGAGACCUCUCAACCAGUCAAAAGGCACGGGUGUGGCAGGGAGCCGGGGAGGAACAAACUCUGCUCUCUACUACUGAAGUCAGUAACAACUCCCAAAACAUGGAAUCCCACUGGCAGCGGUCCAGGUCGGGCACAAAAUGGACAGAGCAAAUAUGAUAAAGGCAGAGCAGAAAAUAUACUUCAAAAGCUUUGUUCCUCCUUAAGUGUGAAGGCCACACUGCCCAGGAAAUCUCUUGUUCCAAAAGUUCCUGUCAGAUGUCAAGGUUUCAACCACACCACUCGUUUUGCACACAUUAAAAAAUNNNNNUGUUUUCUUACUAACUUAACCCACAUAAAUUUUCCAUGAAUGAUAAAAAGAUUUAACAAGAAACACAUACCUUAACAACAUACAUCAUUUCUGGAAAAAUAUCACUACGAAAAGGACCAAAACUGAACACUGUAAGAAUACAAAGAUAACUAUUAUGGAGAUUUGUUACUAUCACAAAACUAAACAACCAUAAUUCUUUUUGGGGCUUCCCUGGUGGCUCAAAUGGUAAAGAAACUGCCUGUAAUGCAGGAGACCCAGGUUCAGUCCCUGGGUCAGGAAGAUCCNNNNNNNNNNNNAUUGGUUACCCACUCUAGUUAUUCUUAUCUGGAGAAUUCCAUGAACAGAGGAGCCUGGUUGGCUAUCGUUCAUAGGGUCGCAAAGAGCUGAACAUGACUGAAAGGCUAACACUUUCACUAUAAUUCUCUUUAAUUCAUCAGAAAAUCUCCAUUUCCUGCUAGCAUUCCCAAAAGUACGUCAACUGAAAAUAUGCUCUUUAAAAUAAGGCGGUCUGCUUUAAAAUACUCUAAAAUGAAAUCAAGUGGGCUUUUUUCAAAGUGUACAAAAAUUUUUCAAAAUUACUAUAAAGUAAAAGAAAAGCAUGUAAUCCAACUAUUACUUCAGUAAAAACAUUAUUUUAAAAGCUAUGCAGGGUCAAAAUUAUCAUCACAAUAACCAACACAGUGAUCUUAUAUGAAUCCAAUUCAUAUUGAUUCUUUACAGAAUCUGUACACCCUCUGGUCUGAGAAUCCAAGUAUAUAGAUCAUUAAGGUCAAUUACACAGGGGAAAAAGGUCGCGCUCCACGAUGCUGAGCACGGAUUUUCCCGGGUGGCUGGAUCACGGGUGAUGUGCUUUUCUUCUGUGUGGUAUACACGCGAGGUUUCCAAGUCUGCUGCUCCAAAAAAGAGCCACGACUUUCAUUAUCAGACGAAGAACGUUCUUCAUGUAUUUUACACUCCUGUACCUAACUACAGUUAGAGGAUCAGGGUACAUUUUCUAAAAGGCCAGGUCCCUCAAGGAGGCAAAAACUGAUGUGAAGAAAGUAGCUUUCUCCCACGUGUUCCGCAUUUGCUCUGCCCCCAUCUGACCUCCUGGGAGGAUUAACGACCAGCCCUCCCCCCAGGGUUUCUGAGAAGUGAUGCUAAGGCUACACAGUGACCUUUCAACCACCCUGGGCAUGUUCUCUAGGGCUCAAUGCUUCUUACCUGACUCUCCAGACUCCUUGUGAUACAACUGCUUUAUAUUUGUUCUACAGACCUCAACAGAGCUCAGCACAGCUCUCUCUCUCCACAGAGCAGACUUUGUCUAUUUGUUGAGCAUAAAAUGGAAUAACUCAUUAAUCGAUUAACAUAAUUAAAUCGUAAUUAAAUUGAUUACUUAAUGUAUUAAUUAAAGUAAAUACGGUAAAGU